UACGGCCGCAUCACGUUGAAACACCGAUUUCCGUACAUGGAAGUUAAACACCGUUAAGCCUUGUCAGUACCUGGAUGGGUGACCGCUUGGGAAUACCUGAGGCUACA